rnacentral:rRNA from 1 species
CCUACGGGAGGCAGCAGUAGGGAAUUUUCGGCAAUGGGGGGAACCCUGACCGAGCAACGCCGCGUGAACGAAGAAGUUAUUCGUAAUGUAAAGUUCUUUUAACAGGGAAGAAAGAGAAAUUUGACGCUACCUGACGAAUAAGCUCCGGCUAACUACGUGCCAGCAGCCUCUGUAAUACGUAGGGAGCGAGCGUUAUCCGGAAUUAUUGGGCGUAAGGGGUGCGUAGAUGGCAUAGUAAGUCUUUUGUAAAAAUGCUGGGCUCAACCCAGUAGGGCAAAAGAUACUGCAAAGCUAGAGUAUGACAGAGGCAAGUGGAACUACAUGUGGAGCGGUAAAAUGCGUAAAUAUAGGUAAGAACACCAGUGGCGAAGGCGGCUUGCUGGGUCGAUACUGACAUUGAGGCACGAAAGCGUGGGGAGCAAACAGGAUUAGAUACCCGAGUAGUC